GGGGACGUGGCUCAGUGGCAGAGUCUCUGGCUGGCAUGCAAAAGGUCCCAUGUUCAACCCCCAGCGCCUCCA
rnacentral:tRNA from 1 species